GGUUAAGCGACUAAGCGUACACGGUGGAUGCCCUGGCAGUCAGAGGCGAUGAAGGACGUGCUAAUCUGCGAAAAGCGCCGGCGAGGUGAUAUGAACCCUUGACCCGGCGAUGUCCGAAUGGGGAAACCCAGUGCAAUCCGUUGCACUAUCGUUAACUGAAUACAUAGGUUAACGAGGCGAACCGGGGGAACUGAAACAUCUAAGUACCCCGAGGAAAAGAAAUCAACCGAGAUUCCCCCAGUAGCGGCGAGCGAACGGGGAGCAGCCCGGAGUCUGAAUCAGCUUGUGUGUUAGUGGAACGGUCUGGAAAGUCCGACGGUACAGGGUGAUAGUCCCGUACACGAAAGCACACAUGCUGUGAACUCGAAGAGUAGGGCGGGACACGUGGUAUCCUGUCUGAAUAUGGGGGGACCAUCCUCCAAGGCUAAAUACUCCUGACUGACCGAUAGUGAACCAGUACCGUGAGGGAAAGGCGAAAAGAACCCCGGCGAGGGGAGUGAAAAAGAACCUGAAACCGUGUACGUACAAGCAGUGGGAGCCUCUUUAUGGGGUGACUGCGUACCUUUUGUAUAAUGGGUCAGCGACUUAUAUUCUGUAGCAAGGUUAACCGUAUAGGGGAGCCGAAGGGAAACCGAGUCUUAACUGGGCGUUAAGUUGCAGGGUAUAGACCCGAAACCCGGUGAUCUAGCCAUGGGCAGGUUGAAGGUUGGGUAACACUAACUGGAGGACCGAACCGACUAAUGUUGAAAAAUUAGCGGAUGACCUGUGGCUGGGGGUGAAAGGCCAAUCAAACCGGGAGAUAGCUGGUUCUCCCCGAAAGCUAUUUAGGUAGCGCCUCGUGAACUCAUCUUCGGGGGUAGAGCACUGUUUCGGCUAGGGGGCCAUCCCGGCUUACCAACCCGAUGCAAACUACGAAUACCGAAGAAUGUUAUCACGGGAGACACACGGCGGGUGCUAACGUCCGUCGUGAAGAGGGAAACAACCCAGACCGCCAGCUAAGGUCCCAAAGUCAUGGUUAAGUGGGAAACGAUGUGGGAAGGCACAGACAGCCAGGAUGUUGGCUUAGAAGCAGCCAUCAUUUAAAGAAAGCGUAAUAGCUCACUGGUCGAGUCGGCCUGCGCGGAAGAUGUAACGGGGCUAAACCAUGCACCGAAGCUGCGGCAGCGACACUAUGUGUUGUUGGGUAGGGGAGCGUUCUGUAAGCCGUUGAAGGUGUGCUGUGAGGCAUGCUGGAGGUAUCAGAAGUGCGAAUGCUGACAUAAGUAACGAUAAAGCGGGUGAAAAGCCCGCUCGCCGGAAGACCAAGGGUUCCUGUCCAACGUUAAUCGGGGCAGGGUGAGUCGACCCCUAAGGCGAGGCCGAAAGGCGUAGUCGAUGGGAAACAGGUUAAUAUUCCUGUACUUGGUGUUACUGCGAAGGGGGGACGGAGAAGGCUAUGUCAGCCGGGCGACGGUUGUCCCGGUUUAAGCAUGUAGGCGGAGGUUCCAGGUAAAUCCGGUACCUUAUUAACGCUGAGGUGUGAUGACGAGGCACUACGGUGCUGAAGUGAUAAAUGCCCUGCUUCCAGGAAAAGCCUCUAAGCAUCAGGUAACACGAAAUCGUACCCCAAACCGACACAGGUGGUCAGGUAGAGAAUACCAAGGCGCUUGAGAGAACUCGGGUGAAGGAACUAGGCAAAAUGGUGCCGUAACUUCGGGAGAAGGCACGCUGAUGUGUAGGUGAAGCCCCUGCGGGUGGAGCUGAAAUCAGUCGAAGAUACCAGCUGGCUGCAACUGUUUAUUAAAAACACAGCACUGUGCAAACACGAAAGUGGACGUAUACGGUGUGACGCCUGCCCGGUGCCGGAAGGUUAAUUGAUGGGGUUAGCGGCAACGCGAAGCUCUUGAUCGAAGCCCCGGUAAACGGCGGCCGUAACUAUAACGGUCCUAAGGUAGCGAAAUUCCUUGUCGGGUAAGUUCCGACCUGCACGAAUGGCGUAAUGAUGGCCAGGCUGUCUCCACCCGAGACUCAGUGAAAUUGAACUCGCUGUGAAGAUGCAGUGUACCCGCGGCAAGACGGAAAGACCCCGUGAACCUUUACUAUAGCUUGACACUGAACACUGGUCCUUGAUGUGUAGGAUAGGUGGGAGGCUUUGAAGCGUGGACGCCAGUCUGCGUGGAGCCGCCCUUGAAAUACCACCCUUUAAUGGCUGGUGUUCUAACGUGGACCCGUAAUCCGGGUUGCGGACAGUGUCUGGUGGGUAGUUUGACUGGGGCGGUCUCCUCCCAAAGAGUAACGGAGGAGCACGAAGGUUGGCUAAUCCUGGUCGGACAUCAGGAGGUUAGUGCAAUGGCAUAAGCCAGCUUGACUGCGAGCGUGACGGCGCGAGCAGGUGCGAAAGCAGGUCAUAGUGAUCCGGUGGUUCUGAAUGGAAGGGCCAUCGCUCAACGGAUAAAAGGUACUCCGGGGAUAACAGGCUGAUACCGCCCAAGAGUUCAUAUCGACGGCGGUGUUUGGCACCUCGAUGUCGGCUCAUCACAUCCUGGGGCUGAAGUAGGUCCCAAGGGUAUGGCUGUUCGCCAUUUAAAGUGGUACGCGAGCUGGGUUUAGAACGUCGUGAGACAGUUCGGUCCCUAUCUGCCGUGGGCGCUGGAGAAUUGAGGGGGGCUGCUCCUAGUACGAGAGGACCGGAGUGGACGCAUCACUGGUGUUCGGGUUGUCAUGCCAAUGGCACUGCCCGGUAGCUAAAUGCGGAAGAGAUAAGUGCUGAAAGCAUCUAAGCACGAAACUUGCCCCGAGAUGAGUUCUCCCUGAGACUUUAAGUCUCCUGAAGGAACGUUGAAGACGACGACGUUGAUAGGUCGGGUGUGUAAGCGCAGCGAUGCGUUGAGCUAACCGAUACUAAUGAACCGUGAGGCUUAACCUU
rnacentral:rRNA from 1 species